GAUAAGUUGGAAAGUAUCAAAGUUGAUAGUAGGGUUUGUGUGGCUAGGUGGUGUGGUGAGAAAGAGUUUGAGGUGGAUCAUUUUGAUAGGUGUUACAUAGUUCAUCUAGGCAACAAAAGUUGUAGCUGCAGAAAGUGGGACAUGACCGGUAUUCCUUGUUGCCUGGUGUUACAGCUAUCCAGAAGGACCGUAGUAAGAUUGAAGACUAUGUGCACCCAUAUUAUACUAGAGAUGGGUGCUUGGCAGCAUAUUCAUGCAUGAUUCAUCCAGUGCCUGAUAUUUAUGAGUAUGUGCAAACUGGUUUACAACGACUUAAUCCACCCCUUGCAAAGAAAUUGGGGGGUAGACCUAAAAAACCAAGGAGGAGGCAAGCAGAUGAGCCCAAGAAGAAAGGAGAUGAGUAGAUUGCAUCUAGGAAAAACUUGAAUGUGACAUGUGGUACGUGCUUGCAAGUUGGACACAACAAAAGGACAUGCAAAAACAGGCUCCACCCCAAAUCCAAGAUGAUGAAGAGGUCAGGACAUGCUAGUGUUGGAGCAUCUUCUUCCCAACCAACCCCUAAGCUGCACCUACAGCAUCUUCUGGUCAAAGACCAUGGACUCGGGUGAGGGCUAUUUAUUCACUCACAUGCACCUUGUCAUUUAGUUGCAUAUGUACAAUGAAUGCACCAUAACAACCAUCUGUAAUUGCAGCCACCUAAGCUACCCACAUAUGGAGGAAAGGGAAAGGGUGUUGCUGCAUCUGCUAGUGGCAGUGGACAAGGAAGGGGUGUUAGAGUGGCUACAAGUGGGAAGGGACAACGAAGAGGUGUUGGAGAGGCUGGAAGUGGGAAGGGACAAGGAAGAGGUGUUGGAGUGGCUGAAAGUGGAAGGGGACAAGGAAGAGGUGUUGGCAUGGCUGCUGGAAU